rnacentral:rRNA from 1 species
AUUGAACGCUGGCGGCAGGCCUAACACAUGCAAGUCGAGCGGAUGAAGGGAGCUUGCUCCUGGAUUCAGCGGCGGACGGGUGAGUAAUGCCUAGGAAUCUGCCUGGUAGUGGGGGAUAACGUCCGGAAACGGGCGCUAAUACCGCAUACGUCCUGAGGGAGAAAGUGGGGGAUCUUCGGACCUCACGCUAUCAGAUGAGCCUAGGUCGGAUUAGCUAGUUGGUCGGGUAAAGGCCUACCAAGGCGACGAUCCGUAACUGGUCUGAGAGGAUGAUCAGUCACACUGGAACUGAGACACGGUCAAGACUCCUACGGGAGGCAGCAGUGGGGAAUAUUGGACAAUGGGCGGAAGCCUGAUCCAGCCAUGCCGCGUGUGUGAAGAAGGUCUUCGGAUUGUAAAGCACUUUAAGUUGGGAGGAAGGGCAGUAAGUUAAUACCUUGCUGUUUUGACGUUACCAACAGAAUAAGCACCGGCUAACUUCGUG